rnacentral:rRNA from 1 species
AUGCAAGUCGAACGAUGAAGCCUAGCUUGCUAGGUGGAUUAGUGGCGCACGGGUGAGUAAUAUAUAGGUAACGUGCCUCUUAGUCUGGGAUAGCCAUUGGAAACGAUGAUUAAUACUGGAUAUUCCUUCUAACUCUAAUGUUAGUCGGGAAAGUUUUUCGCUAAGAGAUCGGCCUAUUUCCCAUCAGCUUGUUGGUAGUGUAAGAGACUACCAAGGCUAUGACGGGUAGCGGGUUUGAGAGGAUGAUCCGCCACACUGGUACUGAGACACGGACCAGACUCCUACGGGAGGCAGCAGUGAGGAAUAUUGCACAAUGGAGGAAACUCUGAUGCAGCAACGCCGCGUGGAGGAUGACGCAUUUCGGUGUGUAAACUCCUUUUAUAUGUCAAGAAAAUGACGGUAGCAUAUGAAUAAGCACCGGCUAACUCCGUGCCAGCAGCCGCGGUAAUACGGAGGGUGCAAGCGUUAUUCGGAAUCACUGGGCGUAAAGGACGCGUAGGCGGGAUGCCAAGUCUGAUGUGAAAUCCUAUGGCUUAACCAUAGAACUGCAUUGGAAACUGGUAACCUAGAGUAUGGGAGGGGGAGAUGGAAUUAGUGGUGUAGGGGUAAAAUCCGUAGAUAUCACUAGGAAUACCGAAAGCGAAGGCGAUCUCCUGGAACAAUACUGACGCUAAGGCGUGAAAGCGUGGGGAGCAAACGGGAUUAGAUACCCCGGUAGUCCACGCCCUAAACGAUGUUCACUAGUCGUCGGAAUGCUAGUCAUUUCGGUGAUGCACUUAACAGAUUAAGUGUACCCGCCUGGGGAGUACGGUCGCAAGAUUAAAAACUCAAAGGGAAUAGACGGGGACCCCG